UCCUCCUUACAGAGGCAGUCUCCCAUGAGUCCCCGGCAUAACCCGCUGGCAACAUGGGACGAGGGUUGCGCUCGUUGCGGGACUUAACCCAACAUCUCACGACACGAGCUGACGACAACCAUGCACCACCUGUACACCGACCUUGCGGGGCGCACAUCUCUGCACGUUACCGGUGUAUGUCAAGUCUUGGUAAGGUUCUUCGCGUUGCAUCGAAUUAAUCCGCAUGCUCCGCCGCUUGUGCGGGCCCCCGUCAAUUUCUUUGAGUUUUAGUCUUGCGACCGUACUCCCCAGGCGGGGCACUUAGUGCGUUAGCUACGGCACGGAACCCGUUGAUAAGGCCCCACACCUAGUGCCCAACGUUUACGGCGUGGACUAC
rnacentral:misc_RNA from 1 species